GAAAUGCGAUACGUAAUGUGAAUUGCAGAAGUAGUGAAUCAUCAAAUCUUUGAACGCACAUUGCACCAGGGCUCACUCUCUGGUAUGCUUGCCUGAGUGUCACUUUAUAAUCUCAACCCAUUCAAACUUGUUAUUUGAUUGCGAUGGAUAUUGGUUUUCAAAGGUUGUCUUUGUAAACUUAAAGUGAAUUGCAUAAUUAUUUUUAGAAUGAUUUUGAAUAUUGGAGCAUGGUGAAUCAUAUUGAUAAACUUUGUUCUCAUACAGAAUCAAUACUUGAAUAACAAAUGCAUAUCAGUAAUCUUUAGUUAUAACUAAAGAAAUAAUCCACAAUCUGACCUCAGAUCAAGUAGCAUUACCCGCUGAAUUUAA
rnacentral:misc_RNA from 1 species